UACGUAGGGUGCAAGCGUUAUUCGGAAUUACUGGGCGUAAAGCGUGCGCAGGCGGUUUUGUAAGUCUGUUGUGAAAUCCCCGGGCUCAACCUGGGAAUGGCAAUGGAGACUGCAAGGCUAGAGUUUGGCAGAGGGGGGUAGAAUUCCACGUGUAGCAGUGAAAUGCGUAGAUAUGUGGAGGAACACCGAUGGCGAAGGCAGCCCCCUGGGUCAAGAUUGACGCUCAUGCACGAAAGCGUGGGGAGCAAACAGG
rnacentral:rRNA from 1 species